UUUCCGUAGGUGAACCUGCGGAAGGAUCAUUAUCGAAUAACAAAUGUGCGGCAGCUGGCCCUCAGCCGAAAGUGCGUGCCCGGCCCAGUCCCCUCACACACAUCCACUUCAUCCCGAUAUCAGCCACCGCAGGGUUCCCCUUUACGGGUGUUUGUGAAGCGUCUUACUUUUUCGCGCAAACUCUAAAUCCAGAAAAGAAUGUAUUGUUUGUUUUUGCGUAACGGAGCUAAAUACAACUUUCAACAACGGAUCUCUUGGCUCUCGCAUCGAUGAAGAACA
rnacentral:misc_RNA from 1 species